GAUUAAUAGAAUAUGAUCUCGGUUAUAUUUGGUUGGUUUUCAGAACUCAGAGGUAAUGAUUAAUAGGGAUAACUGGGGGCAUUCGUAUUGCGACGUUAGAGGUGAAAUUCUUGGAUCGUCGCAAGACGAACAUCAGCGAAAGCAUUUGCCAAAGGUGUUUUCAUCAAU